AACUGAGACACGGUCCAAACUCCUACGGGAGGCAGCAGUGGGGAAUAUUGCACAAUGGGGGAAACCCUGAUGCAGCAACGCCGCGUGAGUGAAGAAGUAUUUCGGUAUGUAAAGCUCUAUCAGCAGGGAAGAUAAUGACGGUACCUGACUAAGAAGCUCCGGCUAAAUACGUGCCAGCAGCCGCGGUAAUACGUAUGGAGCAAGCGUUAUCCGGAUUUACUGGGUGUAAAGGGUGCGUAGGUGGCAGUGCAAGUCAGAUGUGAAAGGCCGGGGCUCAACCCCGGAGCUGCAUUUGAGACUGCUCGGCUAGAGUACAGGAGAGGCAGGCGGAAUUCCUAGUGUAGCGGUGAAAUGCGUAGAUAUUAGGAGGAACACCAGUGGCGAAGGCGGCCUGCUGGACUGUUACUGACACUGAGGCACGAAAGCGUGGGGAGCAAACAGGAU
rnacentral:rRNA from 1 species